CUGACAGUCCUAGAGACCGCAGUUCUUUAUUUAGCCCCAGAGCAGCAACAGCCUGGGCAGCAGCACUGCAGCGCUGCCUCUCCAAUGAGCCUCGGCCCUGACCUGGAGGGACAAUGUCUAGAGGCGAUAUGGGAACCUCGGCUCUAUGGUUCAUUCAGUCCUUGGCCUCU
ensembl:misc_RNA